rnacentral:misc_RNA from 1 species
UCAAACUUGGUCAUUUAGAGGAAGUAAAAGUCGUAACAAGGUAACCGUAGGUGAACCUGCGGUUGGAUCAUUAGCAAACACGAGAGAAGGAGGAGGGGAAAACGGGGGGAUGGGUUGGUCGAUGUGUGCGGCCAAUCUGAAAAGGAGGGGCGAUAGCUGUGCUCCUUAGCGUCUCUGGCGGCGGCCAAGGCGACAGCCUGGCGGCCGCCAAGAUAAUUGGGAGCGUUGCGAAUCCCCGCUGCAUUGGGCUGCUGAACCCUUCAUUUUUCUUUUGGGGGGUUGUGAUGCGCGUCGAUUUUCUUGCUCGCGGGAGGGCAUGUUUUUUUUUUGCACCCCGUUUCUUGGUUUUCUUUUAACAAAGAAAGAAAAACAAAGAGAGAGCACACCACAAAAAAAGAAACGCCUGAACAGAGAAAAUAAACGAAACAGAAAAAAACAACUUUUGACGACGGAUCUCUAGGCUCUCGCAUCGAUGAAGAACGCAGC